rnacentral:rRNA from 1 species
CGGACCAAGGAGUCUAACAUGUGCGCAAGUCAUUGGGUUUUAAAACCUAAAGGCGAAACAAAAGUAAACGGAAUUGAACUAAUAAUUCUUUUCCAAGGGAGGAUAACAAUUGGUUUUCUUUAUCCCUAAAAAGAUAAUUAAAACUUUGUUCGCACUCCCGGGGCGUCUUAUACUCAUUGCGAGUAAAGGCGCACCAAGAGCGUACACGUUGGGACCCGAAAGAUGGUGAACUAUGCAUGGCCAGGAUGAAGCCAGGGGAAACUCUGGUGGAGGUCCGUAGCGAUUCUGACGUGCAAAUCGAUCGUCAGAGUUAUGUAUAGGGGCGAAAGACCAAUCGAACUAUCUAGUAGCUGGUUCCCUCCGAAGUUUCCCUCAGGAUAGCUGGUACCAAUGAUUACAAGAGUCUCAUCUGGUAAAGCGAAUGAUUAGAGGGCUUGGGGCCGAAACGACCUCAACCUAUUCUCAAACUUUAAAUGGAUGAGAGCCUUGGCUUGCUUGAAAAAAAUUUUUCAUUUGAAGCCAAGGACUUUGGAUCAAGGUGCCAAGUGGGCCAUUUUUGGUAAGA